rnacentral:rRNA from 1 species
GCGCACGCUGGCGGCAGGCCUAACACCUGCCAGUCGAACGAACCUUUCGGGGUUAGUGGCGGACGGGUGAGUAACACGUGGGAACGUGCCUUUAGGUUCGGAAUAACUCAGGGAAACUUGUGCUAAUACCGAAUGUGCCCUUCGGGGGAAAGAUUAAUCGCCUUUAGAGCGGCCCGCGUCUGAUUAGCUAGUUGGUUGAGGUAAUGGCUCACCAAGGCGACGAUCAGUAGCUGGUCUGAGAGGAUGAUCAGCCACAUUGGGACUGAGACACGGCCCAAACUCCUACGGGAGGCAGCAGUGGGGAAUCUUGCGCAAUGGGCGAAAGCCUGACGCAGCCAUGCCGCGUGAAUGAUGAAGGUCUUAGGAUUGUAAAAUUCUUUCACCGGGGACGAUAAUGACGGUACCCGGAGAAGAAGCCCCGGCUAACUUCGUG